rnacentral:rRNA from 1 species
CGUGUAGGCGGUCUUGUAAGUUGGAUGUGAAAGCUCCUGGCUUAACUGGGAGAGGUCGUUCAAAAACUGCAAGACUUGAGAGUGGUAGAGGGAGGUGGAAUUCCGGGUGUAGUGGUGAAAUGCGUAGAUAUCCGGAGGAACACCAGUGGCGAAAGCGGCCUCCUGGACCACUUCUGACGCUCAGACGCGAAAGCUAAGGUAGCAAACG